rnacentral:rRNA from 1 species
UACAGAGGGGGCAAGCGUUGUUCGGAAUUACUGGGCGUAAAGGGCGCGUAGGCGGCCUGCUAAGUCGAACGUGAAAUCCCUGGGCUCAACCCAGGAACUGCGUCCGAUACUGGUUGGCUUGAAUCCGGGAGAGGGACGUGGAAUUCCAGGUGUAGCGGUGAAAUGCGUAGAUAUCAGGAGGAACACCGGUGGCGAAGGCGGGUCUCUGGGCCGAUACUGACGCUGAGGAGCGAAAGCGUGGGGAGCGAACAGG